GGAAAAGAAACCAACAGGGAUUGCCCUAGUAACGGCGAGUGAAGCGGCAACAGCUCAAAUUUGAAAUCUGGCCCUAGCGGUCCGAGUUGUAAUUUGUAGAGGAUGCUUUUGGUUAGGUGCCUUCUGAGUUCCCUGGAACGGGACGCCAGAGAGGGUGAGAGCCCCGUACGGUUGGACACCGAGCCUCUAUAUAGCUCCUUCGACGAGUCGAGUAGUUUGGGAAUGCUGCUCUAAAUGGGAGGUAAAUUUCUUCUAAAGCUAAAUACCGGCCAGAGACCGAUAGCGCACAAGUAGAGUGAUCGAAAGAUGAAAAGUACUUUGAAAAGAGGGUUAAAUAGCACGUGAAAUUGUUGAAAGGGAAGCGUUUGCGACCAGACUUUUUCCAGGCGGAUCAUCCGGUGUUCUCACCGGUGCACUUCGCCUGGUUUAGGCCAGCAUCGGUUCCCUUAGGGGGAUAAAGGCCUGGGGAACGUAGCUCCUUCGGGAGUGUUAUAGCCCCUAGCGUAAUACCCUUCGGGGGACCGAGGAACGCGCAUCUGCAAGGAUGCUGGCGUAAUGGUCGUCAACGACCCGUCUUGAAACACGGACCAAGGAGUCGAACAUUUGUGCGAGUGUUUGGGUGUUAAACCCUCACGCGUAAUGAAAGUGAACGGAGGUGAGAGCCCUUCGGGGUGCAUCAUCGACCGAUCCUGAUGUCUUCGGAUGGAUUUGAGUAAGAGCAUAACUGUUCGGACCCGAAAGAUGGUGAACUAUGCGUGGAUAGGGUGAAGCCAGAGGAAACUCUGGUGGAGGCUCGCAGCGGUUCUGACGUGCAAAUCGAUCGUCAAAUCUGCGCAUGGGGGCGAAAGACUUAUCGAACCAUCUAGUAGCUGGUUAC
rnacentral:rRNA from 1 species